rnacentral:rRNA from 1 species
AACGAACGCUGGCGGCAUGCCUAACACAUGCAAGUCGAACGAGACCUUCGGGUCUAGUGGCGCACGGGUGCGUAACGCGUGGGAACCUGCCCUUAGGUUCGGAAUAACUCCCCGAAAGGGGUGCUAAUACCGGAUAAUGUCUUCGGACCAAAGAUUUAUCGCCUUUGGAUGGGCCCGCGUUGGAUUAGCUAGUUGGUAGGGUAAAAGCCUACCGAGGCGACGAUCCAUAGCUGGUCUGAGAGGAUGAUCAGCCACACUGGGACUGAGACACGGCCCAGACUCGUACGGGAGGCAGCAGUGGGGAAUAUUGGACAAUGGGCGAAAGCCUGAUCCAGCAAUGCCGCGUGAGUGAUGAAGGCCUUAGGGUUGUAAAGCUCUUUUACCCGGGAUGAUAAUGACAGUACCGGGAGAAUAAGCUCCGGCUAACUCCGUG